CUCAUCUUUGUAGCUUUCCCUUAGAGCUUAUGGGUGACUUAUGUAAGAAACUCAAUGAAUUUCUUUUGGGUUGAAUUGAUUGAGUCAUGAUGAAAUGAAUGGAGUCACUGUACUUCUGAUGCACAAUUUCCAACCUAAAGGAAGCAGGCAGAAGCUUUAGAAAGUGAAACUCAACAAUGGGUCCAUUUUAACAAUUGCAGUGCAUUUUAGUAGCUAAGUCAUUUUAUAUUAUAAUCUAAUGCAGCAGAAACUAAGAUUUCAAGUGUGAUUUGAUGUCUGCUUCCUGGAUAUGUUUCCUGGGAAUGAAUAACAAAACCACUGUAAACAAUUGAGUCAUCUGAACAAAAGCGUUGGGGACUGUUCUAAGAAAUCUCUGCCAGGAAAGCCAACUACAGUUCACCGGGUGGUUGUUUGGCCUGAUGGUUAAGAUGCUGGUUGGUACACUCACAUCACACACUGUACCCAGGUUCCAGUCCUGACUCUGCUUUCCCACUAAUGAAUACCUGGAAAACAG